AUUGCACGCUGGCGGCAGGCCUAACACAUGCAAGUCGAACGAGUGGCGGACGGGUGAGUAAUGUCUGGGAAACUGCCUGAUGGAGGGGGAUAACUACUGGAAACGGUAGCUAAUACCGCAUACUAUCAGAUGUUCCCAGAUGGGAUUAGCUACUUGGUGGGGUAACGGCUCACCAAGGCAACGAUCCCUAGCUGGUCUGAGAGGUUGACCAGCCACACUGGAACUGGAACACGGGCCAGACUCCUACGGGAGUCAGCAAUGGGGAAUAUUGCACAAUGGGCGCAAGCCUGAUGCAGCCAUGCCGCGUGUCUGGAGAAGGCCUUCGGGUUGUAAAGUACUUUCGGCAGGGAGGCGUUACCCGCAGAAGAAGAACCGGCUAACGCCGUGCCAGCAGCCGCGGUAAUAC
rnacentral:rRNA from 1 species